AGAUUGAACGCUGGCGGCAGGCCUAACACAUGCAAGUCGAGCGGUAGAGAGGUGCUUGCAUCUCUUGAGAGCGGCGGACGGGUGUAGUAAUGCCUAGGAAUCUGCCUAGUGGUGGGGGAUAACGUUCGGAAACGGACGCUAAUACCGCAUACGUCCUACGGGAGAAAGCGGGGGACCUUCGGGCCUCGCGCCAUUAGAUGAGCCUAGGUCGGAUUAGCUAGUUGGUGAGGUAAUGGCUCACCAAGGCGACGAUUCCGUAACUGGUCUGAGAGGAUGAUCAGUCACACUGGAACUGAGACACGGUCCAGACUCCUACGGGAGGCAGCAGUGGGAAUAUUGGACAAGUGGGGGAAACCCUGAUCCAGCCAUCCCGCGUGUGCGAUGG
rnacentral:rRNA from 1 species